rnacentral:rRNA from 1 species
CCCACACUGGGACUGAGACACGGCCCAGACUCCUACGGGAGGCAGCAGUGGGGAAUAUUGCACAAUGGGCGAAAGCCUGAUGCAGCGACGCCGCGUGAGGGAUGACGGCCUUCGGGUUGUAAACCUCUUUCAGUAGGGAAGAAGCGAAAGUGACGGUACCUGCAGAAGAAGCGCCGGCUAACUACGUGCCAGCAGCCGCGGUAAUACGUAGGGCGCAAGCGUUAUCCGGAAUUAUUGGGCGUAAAGAGCUCGUAGGCGGUUUGUCGCGUCUGCUGUGAAAGACCGGGGCUCAACUCCGGUUCUGCAGUGGGUACGGGCAGACUAGAGUGCAGUAGGGGAGACUGGAAUUCCUGGUGUAGCGGUGAAAUGCGCAGAUAUCAGGAGGAACACCGAUGGCGAAGGCAGGUCUCUGGGCUGUAACUGACGCUGAGGAGCGAAAGCAUGGGGAGCGAACAGGAUUAGAUACCCUGGUAGUCCAUGCCGUAAACGUUGGGCACUAGGUGUGGGGGACAUUCCACGUUUUCCGCGCCGUAGCUAACGCAUUAAGUGCCCCGCCUGGGGAGUACGGCCGCAAGGCUAAAACUCAAAGGAAUUGACGGA